UUCCCUGGCCAUAAACCUCUGCUUGUUAUUAAAGACGAAUUCCACAGAGUGGCAGGGUUUCCAAAUGUAAUUGGGUGCAUUGAUGGCACUCACAUUCCUAUGGGAGACUAUGUUAAUAGGAAAUCUAUUCAUAGUAUCAAUGUGCAGGUAAUAUGUGAGGCAACCCAAAUCAUCACCAAUGUCGAGGCAAAAUGGCCAGGAUCUGUGCAUGAUGCCAGAAUUUUCCGCGAGUCAUCAUUAUGCCAGACAUUUCAGCAGGGUAUGAUUUGCUUUAUACAAUUUUUGUUUUUUCGUUUUUACUAUAUUUGUGUUGUACACUUCAAUCAUUACAGGACAGUACAAUGGUUACUUGCUGGGGGACAGAGGA